rnacentral:rRNA from 1 species
UACAGAGGAGGCGAGCGUUAUUCGGAAUUAUUGGGCGUAAAGGGCGCGUAGGCGGCCUUUCAAGUGACGGGUGAAAUCCCUCGGCUUAACCGAGGAACUGCCUGUCAGACUGGAAGGCUUGAGACCGGGAGAGGUGAGUGGAAUUCCCAGUGUAGCGGUGAAAUGCGCAGAUAUCGGGAGGAACACCGAUUGCGAAGGCAGCUCGCUGGAACGUUACUGACGCUGAGACGCGAAAGCGUGGGGAGCAAACAGG